rnacentral:rRNA from 1 species
GACGAACGCUGGCGGCGUGCUUAACACAUGCAAGUCGAACGGAAAGGCCCUGCUUUUGUGGGGUGCUCGAGUGGCGAACGGGUGAGUAACACGUGAGUAACCUGCCCUUGACUUUGGGAUAACUACAGGAAACUGGGGCUAAUACCGGAUAGGAGCUCCUGCUGCAUGGUGGGGGUUGGAAUGUUUCGGCGGUUGGGGAUGGACUCGCGGCUUAUCAGCUUGUUGGUGGGGUAGUGGCUUACCAAGGCUUUGACGGGUAGCCGGCCUGAGAGGGUGGCCGGCGACAUUGGGACUGAGAGACGGCGCAGAGUCGUACGGGAGGCAGCGGGGGGGAGUAUUGCACAAUGGGCGGGAGCCUGAUACAGAGACGCCGCGUGCGGGAUGACGGCCUUCGGGUUGUAAACCGCUUUCGCCUGUGACGAAGCGUGAGUGACGGUAAUGGGUAAAGAAGCACCGGCUAACUACGUG